rnacentral:rRNA from 1 species
AUACGUAGGUGGCAAGCGUUAUCCGGAAUUAUUGGGCGUAAAGAGGGAGCAGGCGGCAGCAAGGGUCUGUGGUGAAAGCCUGAAGCUUAGCUUCAGUAAGCCAUAGAAACCAGGCAGCUAGAGUGCAGGAGAGGAUCGUGGAAUUCCAUGUGUAGCGGUGAAAUGCGUAGAUAUAUGGAGGAACACCAGUGGCGAAGGCGACGAUCUGGCCUGCAACUGCCGCUCAGUCCCGAAAGCGUGGGGAGCAAAUAGGAUUAGAUACCCUAGUAGUCCACGCCGUAAACGAUGAGUACUAAGUGUUGGAUGUCAAAGUUCAGUGCUGCAGUUAACGCAAUAAGUACUCCGCCUGAGUAGUACGUUCGCAAGAAUGAAACUCAAAUGAAUUGACGGGG